GACGAACGCUGGCGGCGUGCCUAACACAUGCAAGUCGAACGAGAUCCAUGGGAGCUUGCUCCCGGAAGAUCUAGUGGCGAACGGGUGAGUAACACGUGAGAAACCUGCCCUGGAGUGGGGAAUAACUCGGGGAAACUCGAGCUAAUACCGCAUACCCUCGGAUGGUCGCAUGGCCGACCGAGGAAAGAUUUAUCGCUCUAGGAGGGUCUCGCGGCCUAUCAGCUAGUUGGUGGGGUAACGGCCUACCAAGGCAACGACGGGUAGCUGGUUUGAGAGAACGAUCAGCCACACUGGGACUGAGACACGGCCCAGACUCCUACGGGAGGCAGCAGUGGGGAAUCUUGCGCAAUGGGCGAAAGCCUGACGCAGCAACGCCGCGUGCGGGAUGACGGCCUUCGUGGUUGUAAACCGCUUUCAGCAGGGACGAAAAUGACGGUACCUGCAGAAGAAGCCCCGGCUAACUACGUGCCAGCAG
rnacentral:rRNA from 1 species